rnacentral:rRNA from 1 species
UACGGGGGGAGCAAGCGUUGUUCGGAUUUACUGGGCGUAAAGGGCGCGUAGGCGGUCGUGACAAGUCACUUGCGAAAUCUCCGGGCUUAACUCGGAACGGUCAAGUGAUACUGUCGGACUAGAGUACAGAAGGGGCAACUGGAAUUCUCGGUGUAGCGGUGAAAUGCGUAGAUAUCGAGAGGAACACCUGCGGCGAAGGCGGGUUGCUGGGCUGAUACUGACGCUGAGGCGCGAAAACGUGGGGAGCAAACAGG